AUUGAACGCUGGCGGCAGGCCUAACACAUGCAAGUCGAACGGGAGGGGGACGGGAGAGCAAUGUAUGGGAAACGGACUGAGGGAUGGGGAUAGGUACUGGAAACGAUAGCUAAUAACGCAUACCAUCGGAUGUGCCGAGGUGGGAGUAGCUAGUAGGUGGGGUAAAGGCUUACCUAGGCGACGAUCCCUAGCUGGUCUGAGAGGAUGACCAGCCACACUGGAACUGAGACACGGUCCAGACUCCUACGGGAGGCAGCAGUGGGGAAUAUUGCACAAUGGGCGCAAGCCUGAUGCAGCCAUGCCGCGUGUAUGAAGAAGGCCUUCGGGUUGUAAAGUACUUUCAGCGGGGAGGCGUUACCCGCAGAAGAAGCACCGGCUAACUCCGUGCCAGCAGCCGCGGUAAUAC
rnacentral:rRNA from 1 species